rnacentral:rRNA from 1 species
GAGUUUGAUCUUGGCUCAGAUUGAACGCUGGCGGCAUGCCUUACACAUGCAAGUCGAACGGCAGCACGGGAGCUUGCUCCUGGUGGGCGAGUGGCGAACGGGUGAGUAAUGCAUCGGAACGUAUCCUGGAGUGGGGGUUAACGUAGCGAAAGUUAUGCUAAUACCGCAUAUUCUGUGAGCAGGAAAGCGGGGGACCUUCGGGCCUCGCGCUCUUGGAGCGGCCGAUGUCGGAUUAGCUAGUUGGUGAGGUAAAGGCUCACCAAGGCGACGAUCCGUAGCAGGUCUGAGAGGAUGAUCUGCCACACUGGAACUGAGACACGGUCCAGACUCCUACGGGAGGCAGCAGUGGGGAAUUUUGGACAAUGGGGGCAACCCUGAUCCAGCCAUGCCGCGUGAGUG